rnacentral:rRNA from 1 species
UACGAAGGGUGCAAGCGUUACUCGGAAUUACUGGGCGUAAAGCGCACGUAGGCGGAUCGAUCAGUCAGGGGUGAAAUCCUGGAGCUCAACUCCAGAACUGCCUUUGAUACUGGCGAGCUUGAGUCCGGGAGAGGUGAGUGGAACUGCGAGUGUAGAGGUGAAAUUCGUAGAUAUUCGCAAGAACCCCAGUGGCGAGGGCGGCUCACUGGCCCGGUACUGACGCUGAGGUGCGAAAGCGUGGGAGCAAACAGG